rnacentral:rRNA from 1 species
AGAGUUUGAUCCUGGCUCAGAUUGAACGCUGGCGGCAUGCUUUACACAUGCAAGUCGAACGGUAACAGGGAGCUUGCUCCGCUGACGAGUGGCGAACGGGGGAGUAAUGCGUCGGAACGUGCCGAGUAGUGGGGGAUAACGCAUCGAAAGGUGUGCUAAUACCGCAUACGAACUACGGAUGAAAGUGGGGGACCUUCGGGCCUCACGCUAUUCGAGCGGCCGACGUCUGAUUAGCUAGUUGGUGAGGUAAAGGCUCACCAAGGCGACGAUCAGUAGCGGGUCUGAGAGGACGACCAGCCACACUGGGACUGAGACACGGACCAGACUCCUACGGGAGGCAGCAGUGGGGAAUUUUGGACAAUGGGCGCAAGCCUGAUCCAGCCAUGCCGCGUGUCUGAAGAAGGCCUUCGGGUUGUAAAGGACUUUUGUCCGGGAGCAAAUGCCUAGUGUUAAUACCAUCGGGAGACGACUGAACCUGAAGAAUAAGCACCGGCUAACUACGUGCCAGCAGCCGCGGUAAUACGUAGGGUGCAAGCGUUAAUCGGAAUUACUGGGCGUAAAGCGUGCGCAGGCGGUUUUGUAUGUUCUGGUGUGAAAUCCCCGGGCUCAACCUGGGAAUUGCAUUGGAGACUGCAAGGCUAGAAUCUGGCAGAGGGGGGUAGAAUUCCACGUGUAGCAGUGAAAUGCGUAGAGAUGUGGAGGAACACCGAUGGCGAAGGCAGCCCCCUGGGUCAAGAUUGACGCUCAUGCACGAAAGCGUGGGGAGCAAACAGGAUUAGAUACCCUGGUAGUCCACGCCCUAAACGAUGUCUACUAGUUGUCGGGUUUUAAUUAACUUGGUAACGCAGCUAACGCGUGAAGUAGACCGCCUGGGGAGUACGGUCGCAAGAUUAAAACUCAAAGGAAUUGACGGGGACCCGCACAAGCGGUGGAUGAUGUGGAUUAAUUCGAUGCAACGCGAAAAACCUUACCUACCCUUGACAUGGAAGGAAUCCCGGAGAGAUCUGGGAGUGCCCGAAAGGGAACCUUUACACAGGUGCUGCAUGGCUGUCGUCAGCUCGUGUCGUGAGAUGUUGGGUUAAGUCCCGCAACGAGCGCAACCCUUGUCAUUAGUUGCUACGAAAGAGCACUCUAAUGAGACUGCCGGUGACAAACCGGAGGAAGGUGGGGAUGACGUCAAGUCCUCAUGGCCCUUAUGGGUAGGGCUUCACACGUCAUACAAUGGUCGGUACAGAGGGCUGCCAACCCGCGAGGGGGAGCCAAUCCCAGAAAACCGGUCGCAGUCCGGAUCGUAGUCUGCAACUCGACUGCGUGAAGUCGGAAUCGCUAGUAAUCGCGGAUCAGCUUGCCGCGGUGAAUACGUUCCCGGGUCUUGUACACACCGCCCGU